CUUCUUUCUUCUUGAGGUUCCAGGUGCAUGGGGUUUCUAGGCCUGUUAGAAAGUGACAUUCUUUACUCACCGCAGGCUAGGAGCCCUGUACUGAGAAGCUGUAGUCUAGGUAUGAGGCCAGUUUCCUAAGGUGCUUUUUAUUGGCUUUACAAGUCAAGCCUGACUCCUUAAAGGGGAACACACCCUUCCAGUCAAAGCCUUGGUAAAACAACCAGUUUUUCCAAUUGUGUCCUGUUGCAAAAGAAAAUGGAUUCUUGUUGCAUUGAUGCAAACUAUAUUGUUGUAAUUUAAGAAUACUUAUAACUAGUUUUCAAAUUCUAGAGGAACUAGGCAGAGAGAAACAAACACGCUUCAAAUCCUAUUUACAGGAGUAUACUUUACUUAGUUGUUAAAGGCUGUAGCUAGCUCAAGACAAGUUUCCUUGACUCUGAAAAAUAAAAUAAGGAUUAGCGGUGUUCCAAGCAAAAGCCAAAAACUUGCUUCUGUUUUCCAUUAGUUCAGUCCAUUCUAUUAACUUUUGUUUUGCUUGAUAUUUAUAAACAUUUCAGCUUUUCAUGAGUUCUGUAUUUUUGUUGUUGUUGUUAUGAGAAACCCACAUUUGAGAGCACUUGUUCAAGUCCCACAGCUUGAUUAUAAAACAUCUUUUGAAGAGAAUUAAAACAAAACAACAAUUAUCUGUAAAUGACAAAAUGUCCAGUUUGGAUACUGUCAGAAACACAAUUGACAAAGAAACUUGGUUAUUUUUAUGAUUUACAAUAACCCAGCAUAACAACCUUAAUUGUGAUUGAUUGCACAUAUUCAGACACUAGAACCCUAGACAUCCCAUACAGUUGUGGAAAACAUGUUAAUAUUAUUCCCUAAAAUAUAACCUAUUAGACAUCAUUUUGUCAAUUCCAUGUACCUAAACAUGUUAAAUAAUCCUGUUUACCUCUCUUCUGGAUGCUCCAGGGGCCCUCUGCAACACCCCAAAGCCAAAGUUUAGGAAAGACAAACUUCAGACUAAAGUUUGAUUUUGGGAAGCCUGUUAAAUAUGUUCAAAAUUCAAAACACUCGAUAUUAUGAAAUAGAAUUUUAGAUUACCAUAAGUUUUUUUUAUUUGUUUUGUUUUGCCAAAAUAAGUCAAAAAUUUGAAAAAGCAAAAACCAUUCAUCAGCCUUUUCUAUUACAUGAAAAUCCUGUUCAAGAGAGGUUAAAUUUUACCCUUGCAUUAGUAUGCUAUUAAUGUUAACACUAAUUUUUAAUGAAUCCUUAUAGACAAUCCUAUUUAAUUUUAACCAGUUUGACCAUGAAGUGAGAUUUUCACAGACCUGUUGACAAGUUUUCACAACCCUUGACAAGUUUUGGUAAAGAGUAGAUUAGCAUUGUAAGAAAAUCUUGUCGUGCUUUUGUUUUGUGUUUAAUUUACAGAAAAAAAAACAUAUAAUACCCUUUUGAAUUUAGUUAAUAUGGUCACACACAGAGUUUCCUUUGCAGGACUAAUUUUUACAAUCUCCUCACAACUUGCUUAAACCAUCCACUUUAUUUUAUUUAAUUGUAAGACAAUUCUUUAUUCCUAAGCAAAAUGUAUAUUUUCAUGCUAUCGUAUAAUUUUUAACUAAAAACAUAUUUUACUGUUUUUAUAUGUCUUGCAUGCAAAUCCAUGUUCAGUGGUUUUAAUUACAAGUCAUAAUGGUAAUGCUUAGCAAUUUUUAACUUUAAUGUAAAACCUGCUACGUUUUUUAAAUCAUGCGCUGGAUGCAGAUGAAGUUUGACUCCUUCUAGCAUAGUUAGGGACAUGGCUACUUCAACAUGUUCUUGGCCUUACCAGUUGUGAAGCAGGCAAGUUGAAAGUUCUUAAAGGCUAAGGAAGCAGUUUACGGCCAGGCGCGGUGGCUCACCUAAGUUAUUUCCCAUGGUUAACCCAGAGGUUUCUGGCACCAGCAAAGCCACCACUGUAACUGCUUGGAGGCAGGCUGACUAUUCUUAAGCCACCAAGUUAAGAUCCUUGCUUAAGUAACCCACUGGCUGUUGAGCUGGACCUCAAGCCCUAGUUAAAACUUUCAGGGCUAUUUUCUUCCUUUUCAAUACAUAAAGAUUAAAUACCUUCCCUAUGGGAAGACUAAGAACUGGUCCUUUUUUUGGGGGGGAGACCGAGUCUCGC
rnacentral:lncRNA from 10 species